rnacentral:rRNA from 1 species
GGGCCCGCACAAGCGGUGGAUUAUGUGGAUUAAUUCGAUGCAACGCGAAAAAACCUUACCUGGCCUUGACAUGUACCGAAUUUAGCAGAGAUGCUUUAGUGCUCGUAAGAGAACGGUAACACAGGUGCUGCAUGGCUGUCGUCAGCUCGUGUCGUGAGAUGUUGGUUAAGUCCCGCAACGAGCGCAACCCUUGCCAUUAAUUGCCAUCAUUUAGUUGGGCACUUUAAUGGGACUGCCGGUGACAAACCGGAGGAAGGUGGGGAUGACGUCAAGUCCUCAUGGCCCUUAUGGCCAGGGCUUCACACGUAAUACAAUGGAUGGUACAGAGGGCUGCAAUACCGCAAGGUGGAGCGAA